CCUACGGGAGGCAGCAGUGGGGAAUAUUGGGCAAUGGGCGCAAGCCUGACCCAGCAACGCCGCGUGAAGGAAGAAGGCUUUCGGGUUGUAAACUUCUUUUGACAGGGAAGAGCAGAAGACGGUACCUGUCGAAUAAGCCACGGCUAACUACGUGCCAGCAGCCGCGGUAAUACGUAGGUGGCAAGCGUUGUCCGGAUUUACUGGGGGUAAAGGGCGUGUAGCCGGGCUGACAAGGCAGAUGUGAAAUCCGGGGGCUCAACCCCCGAACUGCAUUUGAAACUGUUGGUCUUGAGUAUCGGAGAGGCAGGCGGAAUUCCUAGUGUAGCGAUGAAAUGCGUAGAUAUUAGGAGGAACACCAGUGGCGAAGGCGGCCUGCUGGACGACAACUGACGGUGAGGCGCGAAAGCGUGGGGAGCAAACAGGAUUAGAUACCCCUGUAGUC
rnacentral:rRNA from 1 species